rnacentral:rRNA from 1 species
CAGCCGCCGCGGUAAUACGUAGGUGGCAAGCGUUGUCCGGAAUUAUUGGGCGUAAAGGGCUCGCAGGCGGUUUCUUAAGUCUGAUGUGAAAGCCCCCGGCUCAACCGGGGAGGGUCAUUGGAAACUGGGAAACUUGAGUGCAGAAGAGGAGAGUGGAAUUCCACGUGUAGCGGUGAAAUGCGUAGAGAUGUGGAGGAACACCAGUGGCGAAGGCGACUCUCUGGUCUGUAACUGACGCUGAGGAGCGAAAGCGUGGGGAGCGAACAGGAUUAGAUACCCCAGUAGUCCCUGUCUCUUAUAA